UCCUGGAGGAUUGUUGGCCCCAGCUCACUUCUCCCUGCUCCGGUCAUCUCUAGGGUUCACCUCUCUUUGAAGCCCUCUCUGGCAAUGCCAGGGAGGGGAAGAUCACUAAACUGGUGGUUUUCAUGAGUCAGGCAACACAACCUGCAGGAGUAUCUGUCAUCCUAACAUCAGCUACUCCAGGAGACCUGAGCUCAAAUGCCUACAGGCACCAGAGAGGUACACAAAGGAAGUUCAGAAAAUCUUGGUGUCUAGGACUCUGGGAGGUGGAGACAACGAGAACUGAAGAGCGAGGCCCUGGAGAAAGGGGACAGUCGCUCUUUAGUGCCAGUGGAAACUCAGCAGUUGCCCCUGUGUGGGGUUUUUGAUUUCAAGAGAAGAGGGAAAUUUGGUAUACAUUUUUAAGACGUGGUAUCUCUUGAUUUUUAAAUGUUACCUCAAAACAAAAAACAAAACACCCCAUAGGCCAAACAAAACAAGUCUUGUGGCUGGUUUCUCAUCUGGCUUUUAUGAAAUCUUAGAGAUUCUAAGAUUUUAGGGAUCCUAGGAUUAUUUAGUUCCAUGAUUCAGAAACUUUAAUGUGCAUGUAAAUACUUGAGGGAACUUGUUAAAAUGCAGAUUGUGAUUCAGUAGGUCUGGGCCUGGAUUCUGCAUUUCCAACAAGCUCCCCGGUGAUGUCACUGCUGCUGGUCCACCAACUACAUCUUGUGUAGUGAGGAUUUAGUUCAUCCUUCUACCUAAGAAUUCCCUCUGAUUGUACAUGCCUGGUCAAUGAUGUCUCCAGUUCUGCUUGCACACCUCCAGGGACUGGAUGCUCACUACCUAUGGUCGCAGCCUGAGUGGCUGCAGCUUCUGCUAACUUCGGCCAGGCUCUGCAGCAAUGGUGAAGGACACCCAGAGUCAAACAUGCCCAGGCCUGGGAUCUGGAACAUCAGAGUUCCACAGAAGAAACUUCAGUUGGGGACCUAUCAGGAAGGGAGUGGACACUGUUGCCAAGAAGAGUUUCUGUCCAGUUGCUUACUCAGCAGCGCUCAGUUACACAGGAGAUACUACUAGUCCUGGGUGUUCUGGUUAAUAAAAGUUUGGUGCAAUCUGUUUACCUUCCUUUCCCCAAAGUCUUGAAACAACUUUUCUCUGCGCUUGGGCAAGCUAUCUGGUUAUGCCCACAGGAGAAGGAGCCAGGUUCUGACUUGUGAGGGAUGGAGAAGGGAAGGAGGCUUGAGGCUAAACAGAAGCACCUGCCUCCUCAGGCCACAAGACAACCCAUGCUCUCCUGGAUCAGGUCUCUACCUCCUCUGGAGUUGGGGCAUCCAAUCCCAGAUCCUCCUUCCAGGGUCCUCGAGAGGCCGUGGAAAGGGGACAAUCCCCCAUCCCAGCAUCCCCCGAUGGGCUCGGGAUCACUGGGGCUGGAGGUCACAUGCCCAGUGCUCCAUAUCCCAAGGCCAAUCAUCCUGAAGUCCAGCUGUCAGAGCUGGGGGGUGUGGAAACCACCUAGGCCACUCCUCAUUUCGCCUUGGAGGGGAACCCAAGCCCAGAGAGUGCAUGAGACUUUCCCACGGUCACACAGCUGGUUUGCAACCAGCUCCUGUAAAGGCCCAGAAUCCUUUGAGGCAGAGCUGGACAGAAGCCACUGGUAUU
ensembl:lncRNA